rnacentral:lncRNA from 1 species
CCCAGAAGAUGCACCUUGCCCUCUCUGCAAACCUGUCUUGAAUCUUCUUGCAUUUCUUGGAGAAGUAGGAAGCAGCGCCAAAGAGUUGGGAAAUAGAUUUAAUGGAAAAUAUUCCCCCAAAGUUCCCGAGUGCUGUGGGUUAUAAAUGAAGCCAUGAAUCACGGGCUGCCUGUAAUAUUUUAUAAGUGGUCUUGGAAAACCGCCUCUAAUAAACUUGAGGGAAGAUGGAUCACCUUUCUGAAAAAGCAGAAAAGGACGUUGGAGGCAUAAACACAGGCAGAGACCAGAUUUUGAUCCAUCUCUAGUGGAGAGACCAGGCCCCGCCCCUCCUGGGCUUGCCCCAGCCCCAGCUGUGAAUGCUUUAUGAGCCAGCUCGGGGUUUACAUUCCAGGUUCACUGUUGGCACCACCACAUCUGGUAUUACUUCCCCCAAGUUGUUGCAUUCUGUGCCUGGCUCCAUCACCCCCAGAAGUUCCCUCCAACAUUUCCCGUACAAUCUCACAGGCCUGAUGUCUGUCCUUGUGGGGAGAAGAGGAAAUGCUAAAAGGGGGAAAGGAGAAGACAAUGGACAAAGACAAAGCAUGGGAACUAAAGGAAAAAGGAAAGACUCUGGAGAAGGAAGGAAGCCAAGGGAAAGGGUAGCAGGAAUAGGAAAAACGAGUGGGAACAAAGAGAAAUCCAUAGAGGGCUGUCCCCAAUGGAGGACUGAUUGGCUCUGAAACCUUCUCAUGAGUUGUAGGUACCUUUAAAGUGAGCAGUAUUCAUGGUGCUGCUAAGGAAUAGCAGCGGAGAUUCUAUUUAGCACUAUUUUGGUGGGUGUAGAGACUGCUACACUGGGGUUUUGCAGCAGGGGAGAGAGACUGGACUUAACCUAGAUGUCAAAAAAAAGUUGACCAUCUACUUAUAGUUAAG